GACGAACGCUGGCGGCGUGCUUAACACAUGCAAGUCGAACGGUGAAGCGCCUUCCUUUUUGGUGGGUGUGGAUGAGUGGCGAACGGGUGAGUAACACGUGAGUAACCUGCCCCCUUCUUCUGGAUAACCGCAUGAAAGUGUGGCUAAUACGGGAUAUUCUGGGUCUGUCGCAUGAUGGGUCUGGGAAAGAUAUUGUUUCGGUGGGGGAUGGGCUCGCGGCCUAUCAGCUUGUUGGUGGGGUGAUGGCCUACCAAGGCGGUGACGGGUAGCCGGCCUGAGAGGGUGGACGGUCACACUGGGACUGAGCCACGGCCCAGACUCCUACGGGCGGCAGCAGUGGGGAAUAUUGCACAAUGGGCGCAAGCCUGAUGCAGCGACGCCGCGUGAGGGAUGGAGGCCUUCGGGUUGUGAACCUCUUUCGCCAGUGAAGCAGGCCUGCCUCGUUUGUGGGUGGGUUGACGGUAGCUGGAUAAGAAGCGCCGGCUAACUACGUG
rnacentral:rRNA from 1 species